GACGAAGGGGGCUAGCGUUGUUCGGAAUUACUGGGCGUAAAGCGUGUGUAGGUGGUUGCCAUAGUCAGGGGUGAAAUCCUGGAGCUCAACUCCAGAACUGCCUUUGAUACUGGGAAUCUCGAGUCCGGGAGAGGUGAGUGGAACUGCGAGUGUAGAGGUGAAAUUCGUAGAUAUUCGCAAGAACACCAGUGGCGAAGGCGGCUCACUGGCCCGGUACUGACGCUGAGGUGCGAAAGCGUGGGGAGCAACAGG
rnacentral:rRNA from 1 species